rnacentral:rRNA from 1 species
CAGUCGCCGCGGGAAUACGUAGGUGGCAAGCGUUGUCCGGAUUUAUUGGGCGUAAAGCGAGCGCAGGCGGUUUCUUAAGUCUGAUGUGAAAGCCCCCGGCUCAACCGGGGAGGGUCAUUGGAAACUGGGAGACUUGAGUGCAGAAGAGGAGAGUGGAAUUCCAUGUGUAGCGGUGAAAUGCGUAGAUAUAUGGAGGAACACCAGUGGCGAAGGCGGCUCUCUGGUCUGUAACUGACGCUGAGGCUCGAAAGCGUGGGGAGCGAACAGGAUUAGAUACCCCGGUAGUCCCUGUCUCUUAUAA